rnacentral:lncRNA from 1 species
AUACAUCCCACCCAGAGAAACGAUCUCGCCUCAGAUGAUACUUGUCAUCUGUGAGACCACCCCUUUAGCUAGAGUUAACCACUUGAGCAGGUUUCAAUUUUGUCUCUGAAAGUAGGAAGCUAUCAGUCUCCCUACAUGACUCGUUCCACCCUUUGUGGAUACUUCUACCUGUAGAAAAAAAGGUUGGCAAACUUGGUGGCAUGGUGAGGACAAAGGGCAUUUUGAAAGAACCAGUGACUGAGGUCAGAGUGGGGAGCUGGUGUUAGCUGUGGGAUUCACUGCAGCGUCCUACCACAAAGGCAAAGAAGAUGAAAAUGCAGCGUGCAGUGCUGGGCUUGAUUCCCAAGUCGCAGUCGGGCUCCCGCUAUGGGUAGGAGGCUUUACACUCAGCCUGGGUCAGCACCGGAGCAUCCAGGCACUUCAGCUCGUCUGGGUAGUCAGCUGUGAGGAUCAGGAAGAGAUCAAAGAAAGUAGAAAUGUGGGUGAGGCCAGAGAAGGAGACAAUAAUCUGGGAUGGAACAUUGAAGAGGAACACUGCCUCUGGAGAGGACUCCAAAACGAGGCCAUGACAGAGGCACCUGAAGAAGACCUCUACAUAGGCCUCAGAUAAAGAGACCUAAGAAUGGAGGAUCCUGAGCUGGCAAUAUAAAUAUGCACAAGGGCGUGACCAGCCAGGGGGUCCUUGACUGCAACUCCCUUCAAAGACUGCAAUGCAUUGGCUGUGAACCAAGUCUGGGGUGGGCAGAACAGCCUCUCCACACCCUGUAAGCCUGCCAGAAUCCGCCUGUUAAAUUCCUGGUUGGCCUGCUGCUUGCCCCAAGUGGGGCUGCAACCUCAAGCUAGCGAAGCUGUGGAUUUGUCCUGCUCAUUUCCAAGUGUUCAUUCCCAUGUUAAGCCAACAAAGCCAAGGAUUUUCAACCCCCCAGCCACUGCUCUGAAUUGAAUCUGUUUGUAUGGCAGCAAAGCUACUAGUUUUCAUGAUGCAAGACAUUGUGAUUUUGACCUUGUUGGAUGCUGCACCUAAAGGUGGAUGGAAGAGGAAGAGUCUUGGGGGCUACCAUCCUGGCUGGAGAAGCUGGCACGAGGCUCCCUCUUGUGGAUGCAGCAAGUCUGAGGGCCAAGGGAAGAGAAGAGUGACAUAGAAUCUCCUUUCCUUGAGAUCUUAGAAUCACGCCUGCCUCCUUACCUCCAUCCAGGACUGUUAAAAAUCUCCCAAGGCAGAGACUUUUAGGCCUACAUGUACUUAGCCUCCUCUUCCCACCUCCUGUUCAUCUCUGUUUCCAAUGUUCCACUGCCAUCACUGCCAGGAAGUUCUGCAGAGAAGAAUGAAGAAGAACCGUAUGAUCCUAAACAUGUUCUUUGAAGAUAUUAUCAACCCACCAUUGGCCUUAUUUACUGGAAUGUUUUUAUAACCUUUAUUUGACACCUCUUCCCAUCAUUUAAAAUAAAUCUGGUGCUUCCCUGAAUAA